rnacentral:rRNA from 1 species
UACGGAGGGUGCAAGCGUUAAUCGGAAUUACUGGGCGUAAAGCGUGCGUAGGUGGUUCGUUAAGUCCGUUGUGAAAGCCCCGAGCUCAACUUGGGAAUUGCAGUGGAUACUGGCGAGCUGGAGUGCGGUAGAGGAAGGUGGAAUUCCCGGUGUAGCGGUGAAAUGCGUAGAGAUCCGGAGGAACACCAGUGGCGAAGGCGGCUGCCUGGCCUGUUCUUGACGCUGAGGCGCGAAAGCUAGGGGAGCAAACGGG